GGAAUUAGGCUUGCAAUUCUUAUCUGAGAAUUGUUAUCUAAUACAUGCUCAAAUGCGAAGAUAGGAAAAUUUCUUAUGUAGAUAGAAAAUUUUCUCGAUAAGACACAGUCGAUUCUUUCAUUUGGAUCAGUUAAUUAGUAUACUGGCGUCUUCAAUCUACACAUGUGUUAAAGUCAAGGUCUUCUACGAUCUGGAACGUACAUGCAAUGUGAAACUUUAGAACCACGAUACGUAGUAUUAGAUAUAUUUUUACUAAUAUCCUGGAAACUAAAGCCGAGUGGCGGUUAUUAUUGUAGGAAAUGAUUAUUCAGAGUGUUAACCUUGAGAGAAUAGUCCAAGGUCAUCGAAAACAACGAGAUAAAAUAUUCCAAGUAAUUUGCAAAAAUGUGAUUUAUCGAAAUGUAAAAAAAAAAAAUUAUAGGAAGAUAACAAAUACAAGUUAAUUAUUUUAGAAUAUUAUUUCAAUUUUUUAAACUUUAGAUUUAUGAUUUAUUAUAAAAUGACGAGUAAUUCUUUCGAUUAAUCGUAGAUAAGAUUAAGUGAAAGUACUGAUAAACGUACAAAUUAUUUGGCAAUUUAUCACAAAUUUUGAUUGACUCUUGUAUUCUUUCGAUUAAUCAAAGAUAAGGUUAAAUAAAAGGAUUGAUAAAUGCAUAAAUUCUGUAUCAAUUUUUUAAAAACUUUUGAUAACUCUCGUAUGUACUCUUUUAAUUAAUCUGUUGGCAAUUUAAUGCAAUUCAUUCGAAUAAUUUAACGAUAACAAUCAUAAUAAACGAGAUAAAAUAAAAACGUAAGAUGCAAAAUUCGCAGGUAGCUUAAUAAUGAACAUUUUGGAGUGAAACUUUUUUUCGUUGUUGAUUUCAUAGAACCCUAUACAAAAUGUAUACAAAGUUUUCCCCUAAAAUCAAAACCCAAUUUCAUAAAGGCUCUUUGUAAAUUUACUUAGUUACUAAGUAUAAAUUUUACGUUUUACCAUAAACAAUACAUUUUCUUUUUACAUUCUUUGAAAUUCUUUUGGUAUUAUUUAACAUGUGUACAAUUUCUUUUAAACAUAUUUUAAAAAUAGUAAUUUACAAUACUUCAUGAACAGAUAAUAGAAAAGUAAAACAAACAGAUGGAAGUUACCAGUGUUUAAGAAUUGAAUGUUCAUGCUAUAGAUGAAUCGACAGCAAUGAUGCAUCAUGUUGAGUAUUACUCAGCGAAAUCAGAAAAAGAACAGGAAUCAUAGAAAUAAAGAUAAGCACAAAAUCGCCGCGUAAUACGCAUAGAUUUAAGGAAAAAUGGAUAAAUAAGGCAAAAUUGUAAGAAAAAUGAUUGACAAUGAAUAAUGAAUAUAGAAUAAUCAGUGAUAAGAGGAACGAAGACUUUUGUACUCCAUUAUCUGUGAUAAUACAGAAAAAAAGCUUACAUAACAUUUCUAUGCAAAAUUAAAGACUCUUUAAAUAUGGUUUAAGACACUUUUAAAGAUGUUUGUGAUUACCAUGGUAUAAAUUUAUGGUGUGUUAGAAAAGUUAUAUCAUCUUUAUUAGAUUGAAUGACAAAUGGAAGGUUUCAGUAUUUGUCAUUAUUAGUUUGAGCAUAACAAGACAAACAGUGACUUAUGACCACUCUAUCGAUACGCUAGUUUCUUGAACUUUCUGAGAGCUGAAGCAGAUUACUGGUGAUCGAACACCAAAUGCAAUGGACUGUAAGCCAGUUUUCAACCACAUAUGUUCAAAUUGAUUUGAAGUUAGAUUAAACACUUGAGAUUAUCAUGCUAAGGAUAAAAUGGCGGGGACAAGGGAUGGAAUAAUGCUUUACCUUUCUGUCAUCCACUUGAAGCAUUGUUAGAAACUGCUUAGCACAACAGAACUUCCUUUCUAACGUUCGUCUUUUGCAAUCUCACAG